rnacentral:rRNA from 1 species
AGAAUCAACGCUGGCGGCGUGCCUAACACAUGCAAGUCGAACGAGAAAGUGGAGCAAUCCAUGAGUAAAGUGGCGCUUACGGGUGAGUAACACGUGACUAACCUACCCUUGAGUGGGGAAUAACUUCGGGAAACCGAGGCUAAUACCGCAUAACACCUACGGGUCAAAGGAGCAAUUCGCUUAAGGAGGGGGUCGCGGCAGAUUAGUUAGUUGGCGGGGUAAUGGCCCACCAAGACGGUGAUCUGUAUCCGGCCUGAGAGGGCGCACGGACACACUGGAACUGAAACACGGUCCAGACUCCUACGGGAGGCAGCAGUGGGGAAUUUUGCGCAAUGGGGGAAACCCUGACGCAGCAACGCCGCGUGGAGGAUGAAGUCCCUUGGGACGUAAACUCCUUUCGAUCGGGACGAUUAUGACGGUACCGGAAGAAGAAGCCCGGCUAACUUCGUGCCAGCAGCCGC